rnacentral:rRNA from 1 species
GAUGAACGCUGGCGGCGUGCCUAAUACAUGCAAGUCGAACGCAUUGUGGUUGAAAUGAUAUGAAGAACUUGUUCAGAUUUGAUUUUCAACAUUGCAAUGAGUGGCGAACGGGUGAGUAACACGUGGGAAACCUACCUCUUAGCAGGGGAUAACAUUUGGAAACAAAUGCUAAUACCGUAUAAUAAUUAAAACCGCAUGGUUUUAGUUUAAAAGAUGGUCUUGCUAUCACUAAGAGAUGGUCCCGCGGUGUAUUAGUUAGUUGGUGAGGUAAUGGCUCACCAAGACAAUGAUACAUAGCCGAGUUGAGAGACUGACCGGCCACAAUGGGACUGAGACACGGCCCAUACUCCUACGGGAGGCAGCAGUAGGGAUCUUCCACAAUGGACGAAAGUCUGAUGGAGCAACGCCGCGUGUGUGAUGAAGGGUUUCGGCUCGUAAAACACUAGUUGUAAGAGAAGAAUGACAUUGAGAGUAACUGUUCAAUGU